CCUACGGGUGGCAGCAGUGGGGAAUAUUGGACAAUGGGCGAAAGCCUGAUCCAGCCAUGCCGCGUGUGUGAAGAAGGCCUUCGGGUUGUAAAGCACUUUCAGUGGGGAAGAAAGCCUUGGGGCUAAUACCCUCGAGGAAGGACAUCACCCACAGAAGAAGCACCGGCUAACUCCGUGCCAGCAGCCGCGGUAAUACGGAGGGUGCGAGCGUUAAUCGGAAUUACUGGGCGUAAAGCGCGCGUAGGCGGUCUGAUAAGCCGGUUGUGAAAGCCCCGGGCUCAACCUGGGAACGGCAUCCGGAACUGUCAGGCUAGAGUGCAGGAGAGGAAGGUAGAAUUCCCGGUGUAGCGGUGAAAUGCGUAGAGAUCGGGAGGAAUACCAGUGGCGAAGGCGGCCUUCUGGACUGACACUGACGCUGAGGUGCGAAAGCGUGGGUAGCAAACAGGAUUAGAUUACCCUAGUAGUC
rnacentral:rRNA from 1 species